rnacentral:rRNA from 1 species
CGAUCUAUGGAUGAAANCGGGGAUCGCAAGACCUCGCGCGAUUGGANCGGCCGAUAUCAGAUUAGGUAGUUGGUGAGGUAAAGGCUCACCAAGCCGACGAUCUGUAGCUGGUCUGAGAGGACGACCAGCCACACUUGGGACUGAGACACGGCCCAGACUCCUACGGGAGGCAGCAGUGGGAAUUUUGGACAAUGGGCGCAAGCCUGAUCCAGCAAUGCCGCGUGCAGGAUGAAAGGCCUUCGGGUUGUAAACUGCUUUUGUACGGAACGAAACGGUGAGCUCUAAUACAGUUUGCUAAUGACGGUACCGUAAGAAUAAGCACCGGCUAACUACGUG